GCAGAUAUAGUUUAAUGGCAAAACAUUGGCUUCCCAAGUCGAAGUUGCGGGUUCAAUUCCCGUUAUCUGCUCCA
rnacentral:tRNA from 1 species